rnacentral:lncRNA from 1 species
GUCCCAUCAUAGCCCAUAUAAAACCUUUUUACAACUGAAUAACCACUGUCAUACCUUUAUAGGGUCCAGAGUUGUCCUAGUUAGGUUAACAGAUAAGCAAAAACUCCAGUCCCCAGGGGGUAAAAAUUGCCCCACCGCUCUGGGAUCUAUGGUGCCGCUAGUCUGCUUGCCGAGAUGCGUAUUCUGUGUUUGACUUUAUGAAUUUUGAGAUGUCUGUUUAACUACAUAGAGAAACUUGUUGUCCAGACUUACGAUGGCACAGCUGUAAUGGAAUGCAUCUGCUAUUUGUAUUUACAUAUACCGUAAUUUCCGGACUAUUAAGCCGCACCCACUGAAUUUUUCACAAAUUAUUAUUUUGAACAUAAAUAAGCCGCACAUGACUAUAAGGCGCAGGUGCCUACCAGUACAUUGAAACAAAUGAACUUUACACAGGCUUUAGCGAAACACGGCUUGUAACAAAAAUAAAUAGGCUUUAACGAAGCAUGGCUUGUAACAAAAAUAAAUAGGCUUUAACGAAACACGGCUUGUAACAAAAAAUAAAACAUUUGCAGUAAACAGUAGCCUACCAAGAAAGUCAUUGGUCACCAUCUUCCUUCUCCUGUGCACUGAAACCACUGAAGUCAUCUCCUUCGGUGUCGGAGUUGAAUAGCCUCAAAAUUGCUUCAUCCGAUAUUGGAUCGUUUUCAUUGUCGCUCUCGUCACUUUCAUCCGGAGGCAAAUCCCCCGCUGAGCCCUCUUAAACAUGCAGCAGUCCAGCCUUUCGAAAACCCGUUGAUGAUAGUGGAUUUUUUUGACAAUGCUCCACGCUGUCAGGACCCACUGGCAGACUUGACCAUAAGUUGCUCUUCACAUGCGGCCCGUUUUAGUGAAGGACUUCUCCCCACUUGUCAUCCAAGCCUCCCGCUGAACACGGAGCGCCACCUUAAAUGCACGAUUUACACUGAUGUCGAGUGGCUGCAAAUACUUUGUUGUACCCCCAGGAAUCAGGGUGACAAAAUGACUACAACUUUUCCCAAAUUUAUGUAAUUGGUUCAGAGUUUGUUUUGUACAGCAGCAGUAGACGUCGCGAUCUCGUUUGAUGUGGGGGGACAAAAUACAUUUAUGCACGAUGGCGCACGAUGGCGCACACGCACAGCCGGUUCGGGUUCCGUUUUAGGCACUGCAUCUCAGCGCUAGACACGUCACGAUUCCAGGCUGUAUCGCAACUGGCCUGAUUGGGAGUCCCAUAGCACGG